rnacentral:rRNA from 1 species
GUGGGGAAUAUUGGACAAUGGGCGAAAGCCUGAUCCAGCCAUGCCGCGUGUGUGAAGAAGGUCUUCGGAUUGUAAAGCACUUUAAGUUGGGAGGAAGGGCAGUAAGUUAAUACCUUGCUGUUUUGACGUUACCGACAGAAUAAGCACCGGCUAACUUCGUGACAGCAGCCGCGGUAAUACGAAGGGUGCAAGCGUUAAUCGGAAUUACUGGGCGUAAAGCGCGCGUAGGUGGUUCAGUAAGUUGGAAGUGAAAUCCCCGGGCUCAACCUGGGAACUGCUUUCAAAACUGCUGAGCUAGAGUACGGUAGAGGGUGGUGGAAUUUCCUGUGUAGCGGUGAAAUGCGUAGAUAUAGGAAGGAACACCAGUGGCGAAGGCGACCACCUGGACUGAUACUGACACUGAGGUGCGAAAGCGUGGGGAGCAAACAGGAUUAGAAACCCGGGUAGUCC